rnacentral:rRNA from 1 species
UACGAAGGUGGCAAGCGUUGUUCGGAAUCAUUGGGCGUAAAGCGAACGUAGGCGGAUUUGUAAGUCGAUUGUGAAAACCCUGGGCUCAACCCGGGACGUGCAGUCGAAACUGCAAGUCUUGAAUGCUCGAGAGGAUGGUGGAAUUCCUGGAGUAGAAGUGAAAUUCGUAGAUAUCAGGAGGAACACCGGAGGCGAAGGCGGCCAUCUGGCGAGACAUUGACGCUAAGGUUCGAAAGCGCGGGUAGCAAACAGG